rnacentral:lncRNA from 1 species
UGAAGGUGUUUAUCCACUUCAAAUAUAAAGACUAUUAUGGCGAUAUGGGUUGGACUUGUGUCUCCGCCCAGAUCUCAAGUGGAACUGUAAUCCCUAAUGUUGGGGGAGGGGCCUGAUGGAAGGUGAUUAGUUCGUGGGGGUGGAUCUCCCCUUGCUGUUCUCGUGAUAGUGAGUGAGAUCUGGUUGUUUAAAAGUGAGUGUUGCCCCGCCUCCUUUGUGCUCUUCCUCUAGCUCUGGCCACGUGAAGAUGUGCCUGCUUCCUCUAUGCCUUUCACAGCUGUGGUUGUAAGUUUCCUGUAUAGCCUGCUUCCUGUACCGCCUGCAGAACUACUCGCCCUGUGGAGAGGACAAAUUGGAUUCAUGACCAGACCUCCGAGAGGCUGCGUCUCCAGGCAGCUGGGGGGAAGCUGUCUGGAAACAAACACGUUUUCCAGCUCACUCGACCCUCGCAUUUCCAGAGCAGAAGGUGUGUGAUGUGGACUAACUGAAACUUGCCACCAGCUUGUCUCAUCUCUCAUGAAACUGCUGGAAGAAAUACAGUGGAUAAUGACUCAUUUCUGUGCUCGGGUCCAGAUAAUAACUCUCACUUCUUAAUAACUUCCCUCUGGCCAUCGAUAUCUCAAAUGCAAUGAAAUGCUGUAAGCUGGCAGAUGAUAUUUUCAUUAGAUGUGAAGCAAUUUUACCAAAGUGAGAUAGAGACGAUACAGGGGAAAAUGCUGUCUCUGACCAAAUAAAGAGGUGGGCUGGAAAGUACAUGAAAAUAGGACUUCAGGUUGGAACACGGAGGCCUAGAGUUCCCAGGAGAGGGAGAGAAUGUCCCAUUUUUCUGUCCUUGUUGCUGAUGGACCUGUCUUGGUGUUUGGAAGGCAGGCGUUCACCCAGACUGGCCAAGCGUGGAUGCCACGUGUUAGGCCAUGAAGGAUGGCAGCAGGAUGUGGGAGCUGCUUGGCUUUCAUAGGCUCGUGGGA